CAAGAGCAAUGUUGCACUUUAUCAACGGAAAAACUCAUGCAACUCACCUACCUGUUGACCCCACCCCACGACCACGUGACCAACACACGUUCACGUUGGUCAGAAGGCACAAAACGGCAUAAGGAGUUUUAAAUGGAGGCGGGACUAUCUGAUUUUGUCCAAUAACAAUGAUCAUGUUUUUUUAACGGUUUUGAAAGAGCCCCUGAUUGGGCCAGGGUGGCAUUUACCUGGUGGAGUCUUAGUCCGGUAGCAUGACGAUUAAAACUAAAUUAUUCGGCUAAUGUCUCGUCCGCUACAUAGGCAAAUUAGUCUGAGACUGCAAUCACGGAGGGGGUUCGCUUAUCUGGCCCGAAGAGUUUGAACCGGGUGAAACGUGAUUGCUUUCGUUUUGGAACGGGGCUGCCUCCGGGGCGUGAGCCAGUGCCCAGCGCUCGCCGACCGCGAACACUGACCAAAACAAACGUGACAUAGCCACGCACGUGUAGUAAUGAGUGGGAUUGUGUUUUCACAUGCAAAGGCAGAGCAGGCAACAGAUGGCACACAGACAGCAGAGUUGGGGACAGAUAUGCAGGGACAGACUGGCAGUCUCAGACGCUUUAUCUGGACAUGGUUCGUCAGGACCUCCAACAGCCGAAGCUAAGUAUUAACAUUAACAUGAUGCCUUCUAAUUGCAGUCGUUGUACUCAUAAUAUACAGGAGAACGAUCGCCUUACGGCGAGGAUAGCUGUGCUGCAAGCCCAGCUUCAGACGCAAUCGUUAGGCAAGGGUAAUUUAAGUGUAGGAAAGGAUGAAACAGCGUCUGUGCCACCAGUAAGUACAGAUAGCAGUAUAAAUCCCCUCGCACGGUCCCCGCAGCCGGACAACUUUCUCAUGGCUUCUGGAGGGAAAUGCUGUAGGAAUGCUCAACCGGUGUCGCUCAUUCAGCCGACGAAAACGUUCAAUCGGUUCUCCCCAUUAAGCAGCAAGUCGGAGUCAGAGGCCGAGCCUUCUCUGGUCUCUAUUCCUCCUGUUACGAGGUCUGAGAUGCCGAAGCCUCCCACCAUUUGCUCUGACAAAUUUAAAACCCUAGUCAUUGGCGACUCCAUUACCCGCAGUAUUAGAAUUAAAAUGAAUCAUCCAGUGAUCAUACACUGUUUAUCAGGGGGCAGGGCUACCGAUGUUAAGGCUAAUCUGAAGAUGGUGCUGGCUAAAGCUAAAACUGGCGAGUGUAGAGAGUAUAGGGAUAUUGUUAUCCACAUCGGCAGCAACGAUGUUAGGAUGAAACAGUCAGAGGUCACCAAGCGCAACAUAGCUUCAGCGUGUAAAUCAGCUAGAAAGAUGUGUCGGCAUUGAGUAAUUGUCUCUGGCCCCAUCCCAGUUAGGGGGAGUGAUGAGCUCUACCGCAGUCUCACAACUCAAUUGCUGGUUGAAAACUGUUUUCUGCCCCUUCCAAAAGAUAGAAUUUGUAGAUAAUUGGCCCUCUUUCUGGGACUCACCCACAAACAGGACCAAGCCUGGCCUGUUGAGGAGUGACGGACUCCAUCCUAGCUGGAGGGAUGCUCUCAUCUUAUCUACAAACACAGACAGGGCUCUAACUCCCCUAGCUCCACAAUGAAAUAGGGUGCAGGCCAGGCAGCAGGCUGUUAGCCAGCAUGCCAGCUUAGUGGAGUCUGCCACUAGCACAGUCAGUGUAGUCAGCUCAGCUAUCCCCAUUGAGACCGUGUCUGUGCCUCGACCUAGGUUGGGCAAAACUAAACAUGGCGGUGUUCGCCUUAGCAAUCUCACUAGAAUAAAGACCUCCAUUCCUGCCAUUAUUGAAAGAGAUCGUGAUACCUCACAUCUCAAAAUAGGGCUACUUAAUGUUAGAUCCCUCACUUCCAAGGCAGUUAUAGUCAAAGAACUAAUCACUGAUUAUAAUCUUGGUGUGAUUGGCCUGACUGAAACAUGGCUUAAGCCUGAUGAUUUUACUGUGUUAAAUGAGGCCUCAUCUCCUGGUUACACUAGUGACCAUAUCCCCACUCAUCCCGCAAAGGCGGGGGUGUUGCUAACAUUUACGAUAGCAAAUUUCAAUUUACAAAAAAAUAAAUGACGUUUUCGUCUUUUGAGCUUCUAGUCAU
rnacentral:lncRNA from 1 species